rnacentral:rRNA from 1 species
UACGUAGGGGGCAAGCGUUGUCCGGAAUCAUUGGGCGUAAAGCGCGUGUAGGCGGCUCGGUAAGUCCGCUCUGAAAGUCCAGGGCUCAACCCUGGGAUGCGGGUGGAUACUGCCGAGCUCGAGUCCGGAAGAGGCGAGUGGAAUUCCUGGUGUAGCGGUGAAAUGCGUAGAUAUCUGGAGGAACACCGGUGGCGAAGGCGGCAUCCUGGACCGGCAUUGACGCUGAGGAGCGAAAGCGUGGGGAGCAAUCCGG